UACGUAGGUGGCAAGCGUUAUCCGGAAUUAUUGGGCGUAAAGCGCGCGUAGGCGGUUUUUUAAGUCUGAUGUGAAAGCCCACGGCUCAACCGUGGAGGGUCAUUGGAAACUGGAAAACUUGAGUGCAGAAGAGGAAAGUGGAAUUCCAUGUGUAGCGGUGAAAUGCGCAGAGAUAUGGAGGAACACCAGUGGCGAAGGCGACUUUCUGGUCUGUAACUGACNGCUGAUGUGCGAAAGCGUGGGGAUCAAACAGGAUUAGAU
rnacentral:rRNA from 1 species